GUACACGUGAAAGUUGUUUCCAAGAACGUCUGCAGUCAACAGCAGUGAACCACUAAAAAGGAAGAAACAACAUCACAGUAUUAUUAGGGGCCAUUUGUACUGCAAGACUACCUGUGGGAGGGGCCAUUUGUACUGCAAGACUACCUAUGGGAGGAGCCAUUUGUACUGCAAGACUACCUGUGGGAGGAGCCAUUUGUACUGCAAGACUACCUAUGGGAGGGGCCAUUUGUACUGCAAGACUACCUGUGGGAGGGGUCAUUUGUUUCAAGAGGGUUCUCCUCUUUGCCCAAUAAUUUUCUGUAUUCCACCAGAAAACAACUGUUUCAGUAUUAACUCAGUCAAGGAUCUGGCAACCACAGUACAAGCAAGUUUGUCAGUCACUUUGUCAGGAUGGUGAUUACCACCACUGUCGAUUGUAGAUUUCCUGUAUCCUUUAUCUGUUUAUUAAUGGGUGUUCAGUAACAUUUUAAUAUCUCAGUCUUCAUUUCACUAACAUUCUUAAAAAGGAUUUGUUAAAGUUUCAUCUGCCAAUUUUUGUAAUGCACUCUUUGUAAUAACAGCAGUUUUACUGGCUAUAAAAUU